CAGCCGUAAACUAUGCUCGCUAGGUGUCAGGCAUGGCGCGACCGUGUCUGGUGCCGCAGGGAAGCCGUGAAGCGAGCCACCUGGGAAGUACGGCCGCAAGGCUGAACUUAAAGGAAUUGGCGGGGGAGCACCACAACGGGUGGAGCCUGCGGUUUAAUUGGACUCAACGCCGGGAAGCUCACCGGAUAGGACAGCAGAAUGAUUGCCGGGCUGAAGACCCUGCAUGACUAGCUGAGAGGAGGUGCAUGGCGUAGACGUCU
rnacentral:rRNA from 1 species